rnacentral:misc_RNA from 1 species
UGCAAUUUGUCUGUUCCCUGAUCAAGAAUCGUGCUACAACAGAUGAGAAAGAACAUUAGUACAAUUGAAUGAAUACAACACAAGAUAGAGAUACUUAAAAAACAUCAGUGUAAACAGCCAUGAGAGUGAAUAUGAUGGAUAAGACAGAUGAUCACAUUUUUAAGGGUCUUAAUGAACAGAAUCCAUAUCACAAGUGUCAUAACCUUACAUAUGUAAUUUCCUAGUAAUGUAAGCAGAAGAUAUUUUCUCACUCGAAUUAACUUAAGUGAGAAAAGGGAUCAUGCAAAAGGAAUUAAGGGAGAUGAGAGUAUGAAAGGAGGAGGAGAAGAAGAAGAAUAGAGAGAAGAGCAGUUCAGGAAAGAAGAACCUCGAAUUUAGGGCCUGCCAUUCACCGAGCCAUCAUUGCAACUUACCUUAGUAGAUUUAAGACAAUACCCAAUGUAAAUCAAGCUCUGAUACCAUCUG